rnacentral:rRNA from 1 species
CUACCAUGGCAGUCACGGGUAACGGAGAAUUAGGGUUCGAUUCCGGAGAGGGAGCCUGAGAAACGGCUACCACAUCUACGGAAGGCAGCAGGCGCGCAAAUUGCCCAAUCCCGACACGGGGAGGCAGUGACAAGAAAUAACAACUCUAGGUUUUCUUAGAAGUGUAAUGAGGAUAAUUUACAAACCUUACCGAAAGCAAUUGGAGGGCAAGUCUGGUGCCAGCAGCCGCGGUAAUUCCAGCUCCAAUAGCGUAUAUUAAAGUUGUUGCAGUUAAAAAGCUCGUAGUUGAAAAUCUGAUUGCUCAGGUCUCCAGCCUUUAGGCGGGGAUUCUGACAGUCAUCCGCUUGCAAACAUAUGUUCGAUCUUCACCGGUUGGCUAUGUGAGUAAGCACUUUACCUUGAGAAAAACAGAGUGUUCCAGGCAGGUUUGUCCGGAAUGCAUUAGCAUGGAAUAAUAGAACAUGACUGAAGUCUAUUUAUUGGUUAAAGGCUUUAGUAAUGAUUAAUAGGAACAGUCGGGGGCAUUCGUACUCAGCAGUCAGAGGUGAAAUUCUAAGAUUUGCUGAAGACGAACUAAUGCGAAAGCAUUUGCCAAGGAUGUUUUCAUUAAUCAAGAACGAAAGUUAGGGGAUC